GUGUCAGCCGCCGCGGUAAUACGUAGGGUGCAAGCGUUAAUCGGAAUUACUGGGCGUAAAGCGUGCGCAGGCGGUUGUGCAAGACAGAGGUGAAAUCCCCGGGCUUAACCUGGGAAUGGCCUUUGUGACUGCACGGCUAGAGUGUGUCAGAGGGGGGUAGAAUUCCACGUGUAGCAGUGAAAUGCGUAGAGAUGUGGAGGAAUACCGAUGGCGAAGGCAGCCCCCUGGGAUAACACUGACGCUCAGGCACGAAAGCGUGGGGAGCAAACAGGAUUAGAUACCCCAGUAGUCC
rnacentral:rRNA from 1 species